GAUCCAGUGGCCCUGAGGGACCAACACAAUGUAAGGAGCUGGACCUUGUGCACUCUUGCUCCUCUCUUGCUGCCUCCUUAUCUAACUUCUGCUCAGUCACCUCUGCAUUCUACCUGUAGAAAAGUGACUCAACAUCAUUCCAGAAGUCCGGAAUUCUACAAGAAUCAUCUUUUCUCGGAGUUGAAAGUGAUAACACACCACCACAUGGUCAAGUGAAUCAUAACCUGCUGGGGCUUGAGGUAUGGAAGACGAACAGUGGAGGAAAAGGUAUCUUCCAGCCUGGUGAAAUGCCGUGGAAAUGUGAGGCCAUUUAUUUUUUCUAAAUGCCCCAGCAACAGCUCUCAUUCACUUGCAGAAGCAAGAGCUGUUCUGACUACUCACAGUAUAUGGUGAGAUCUUUAUUUCUUUGCCUUUUUUUUUACUGUGAGUUUCCUUUUUUGUCAUCAUUGACCUUAUAAUGAAUCACUGCACUGUCUGAGUAAUGAGGCUGCAGUAGAUAAGGUCUCCUGAGAAUAUGAAGGAAGAAGUAUGUUCAGCAACUGAUUACUGACUUAUCCACCUGAUUAUAGUGACCAAUCUACUCAUAUAUCUGAUUUCAA
rnacentral:lncRNA from 1 species